UUAACAGUGAAAUGGUGAAAUAAUUUGCUGCGAGUUAAACCCUGUGACCCUUAGAAGCCACGCCCGCCCAACCUUCUUUCUUUCUUCUCUUCUUCUCUGAAACCCAGCCCAGCCCGCAGACCUCCACACCAACCUUCCGUCCGUCCGUCCGUUCCAACCGCCGGCGACCACCGUCGCUAACCCUCCCUCCUCCCUUCUUCCUUUUCUUUCUUCCCUAUUUCUCCAUUUCUUUCCUCCUGUACGCAACACCCCUGUUCGUGGCGCCACCUCUGUCUGCACCUUCCAUUUCCGGUGAAAACCACCAGCGGCGGCGAAACUCUGUGCCGCUACGACACUACCUCCGCUCCUUACGCUAUCUUCUUUUUUCACUCCUCAACGCAGUUGUUGAACAUAAAUGAUCAUAUACUCUUCCGACACCCUUGAACCGAAGCACAAGCAGUCACCAAGAAACGUGGAAUGGUAAGUAUUGUAUUCCAUUCAUUACGAUUAAUCACAUGAAACCUUACCAGUUACCAAUUAUGAACGCGAGUGUGAUUCAGAAGAGAGACGAGAGGAUGUUUCGGUUGAGUAAGAACAAGGCUUCUUCGAAAUCUGCAGCUGAUACAAGAUUUGAGUUCUGAUUCUCUCAUUUUAAGGCUCUUCAGGUACCCAAGGGAUGGGAAGCUGCUUGUUUCUGUUGUUUCGGUAGAAAGUGGUAAAGCUAUUGCAAAGUCAAGCAAGGUGCUGGUGCAAAAUGGGAGUUGUCAGUGGUCAGAUUCUUUUUCAGAAUUUGUAUUGUUUCCAGGAGAUAAUUCUUCCAAGGAGAUUGAUGAAUGUCUCCUCAAGCUUAUUGUUGCCAUGGUGCUGAUACUAUUGCUGUUUGCUUUUCCUAUUGUGUAUACUCUACUUUGUAGUUAAGAUGUUUCUUUAUCAGUUAGAAGUUUGUUUGAAUUAUGAUGUGGCUUAACAGGGACCAUCAAGAUCUAGUAUCCUUGGAGAGGUCACUGUUAAUAUGGCAAGUUAUGUGAGUUCAAAUGCUGAAUCUGCACUUUCACUCAAGCUGGGUAAGUGGCAACCAUGGGACAGUUUUACAUGUCAGAUAUACAAAUAAAGUUGUCGUACUUUUAUUGAGUGCAGAAACCUGGAUGGUUGUGUUACUGUGGUUGGUUACGCUCGGAUUUAAUUGUAGUCAA